UAAAAGAGGAAAGAAUUCUGAACCACGAUUUGUCUUUCACUUUUGAGAGCAAACGGCAUCCGUGGAUCACAAUAAAACACCCAUUCACCACCAUCGGAUUAGCAAAAACACAUUUGUUUUUGUAAGAUAGAUUACCAUUCUAGAUCUAAAAAUCUGAAACUCCGUUUCCCUUUUAUUAUUGUUCUUCCUUCGCCGCCACCUCCUCCUCCUCCUCCUCCCCACCAUCAGCAUCAGUAUCAACACCUCAUCCUAGUAUUCCAUCACCACCACUAAACCCACCACUGUGUCCUGAUCCACCGCCUCAACAACUUCUCUUCUUGCUCCUACACCAUUACCAAACCCACUGCUAUGUUUUGAUUCUCCACCAAAUUCGAAAUAGAAAUACCAAUUCAAUUAAGAUUAGGUAUUUAUGUUUUGUGGUAAACCGAUUUGUAUCAAUGAUGAAGGAGGUGGUGGUGCUCCAAAUUAUAGAAUUUUACUGAAAUACCUCCUCCUUCUCUGAUCUAAACUUCAAUUCCUGAACACCUCCAAAAAUCACUGUAGAAAAAGUUGAAUCACAAUGAUGAUACAUCAUCAUAUCAUCCUAUAUAUUGUUUAAUUUGAAGAAAUUUCACCUCAUCCUCAACUAUUACAAGAGCUUUCAAGGAUACUAGUCAAAAUAAGUGAAUUGGGAAGAUUAACAUCACAAUGAGUACCUGAUGGUACUGGAAAUUGGCCUAAUGUAUGGAAGGCAAUGCGUGUAUCAUUACUGAGAAGUGAGAGCAUAUAGCGACAGCUAAAGGAAGCGAAAUUUGUGUUGUUGUUUUACUAGAUAAUGGAACUGAUCCACAUAACAGAGAUAAAUGGGUCGUGGAGUCAGUUAUGGAGGAGGUCAGAGUUCUUUAGGAUAUCUCUUUGCUGGUCCU